GAUGAACGCUGGCGGCGUGCCUAAUACAUGCAAGUCGAGCGAACAGAUGAGGAGCUUGCUCCUCUGACGUUAGCGGCGGACGGGUGAGUAACACGUGGAUAACCUACCUAUAAGACUGGGAUAACUUCGGGAAACCGGAGCUAAUACCGGAUAAUAUAUUGAACCGCAUGGUUCAAUAGUGAAAGACGGUUUUGCUGUCACUUAUAGAUGGAUCCGCGCCGCAUUAGCUAGUUGGUAAGUUAACGGCUUACCAAGGCAACGAUGCGUAGCCGACCUGCGAGGGUGAUAGGCCACCGUGGAACUGAGACACGGUCCAGACUCCUACGGGAGGCAGCAGUAGGGAAUCUUCCGCAAUGGGCGAAAGCCUGACGGAGCAACGCGGCGUGAGUGAUGAAGGUCUUCGGAUCGUAAAACUCUGUUAUUAGGGAAGAACAAAUGUGUAAGUAACUAUGCACGUCUUGACGGUACCUAAUCAGAAAGCCACGGCUAACUACGUG
rnacentral:rRNA from 1 species